AGAGUUUGAUCCUGGCUCAGAGUGAACGCUGGCGGCAGGCCUAACACAUGCAAGUCGAGCGGCAGCGCGGGGGCAACCCUGGCGGCGAGCGGCGGACGGGUGAGGAAUUCGUCGGAAUCUGCCUUUUUGUGGGGGAUAACGUAGGGAAACUUACGCUAAUACCGCAUACGACCUACGGGUGAAAGUGGGGGACCUUCGGGCCUCACGCAGAAAGAUGAGCCGACGACCGAUUAGCUAGUUGGUGGGGUAAAGGCCCACCAAGGCGACGAUCGGUAGCUGGUCUGAGAGGAUGAUCAGCCACACUGGGACUGAGACACGGCCCAGACUCCUACGGGAGGCAGCAGUGGGGAAUAUUGGACAAUGGGGGCAACCCUGAUCCAGCCAUGCCGCGUGUGUGACGAAGGCCUUAGGGUUGUAAAGCUCUUUUGCCGGGGACGAUAAUGACGGUACCCGGAGAAUAAGUCCCGGCUAACUUNNNGNCNGCAGCCGCGGUAAUAC
rnacentral:rRNA from 1 species